AGCGAACGUUUGCGGCGGGCCUAACACAUGCAAGUCGAACGAGAAGCCACCUUCGGGUGGUGGACAGUGGCGCACGGGUGCGUAACACGUGGAUAAUCAACCCCUUUGGCUGGGACAACACUGGGGAACUGGUGCUAAUACCGGAUAAGACGAAGAGCUCCCCGGAGCUUUUCGGGAAAGACCCGCAAGGGUUACUGAGGGACGAGUCCGCGGCCCAUCAGCUUGUUGGUGAGGUAAGAGCUCACCAAGGCUAAGACGGGUAGCUGGUCUGAGAGGAUGACCAGUCACACUGGAACUGAGACACGGUCCAG
rnacentral:rRNA from 1 species